UACGGAGGGUGCAAGCGUUGUCCGGAUUUAUUGGGUUUAAAGGGUGCGUAGGCGGUUGAUUAAGUCCGAGUUGAAAUCCCAUCGCUUAACGAUGGAACUGGCUCUGAUACUGGUUAACUUGAGUAUGGUUGAGGUAGGCGGAAUUUAAGAUGUAGCGGUGAAAUGCAUAGAUAUCUUAAAGAACUCCAAUUGCGUAGGCA
rnacentral:rRNA from 1 species